AAGCCCUUACCACAAAAAGCGU
rnacentral:miRNA from 1 species